CCGGUCGCACCUCCCAUGCCUCCACGCUCUGUCAGUCCCUGCAUUGGCUUCCAGUUAGAUAUAGGGCCCAAUUCAAAUUUCUGGCGCUUGCUUACAAAUUCCUACAUAAUGCUGCUCCAACAUACCUAUCCUCCCUCAUACACAAGUAUGUCCCGUCGAGACCCCUGCGCUCAGACCAAGACCUACACCUAUCCUCUGCCCGGAUCCCCACCUCUGAUGCUCGCCUUUAGGCUUCUCCAG